UUCUUGACAAGGAGAGGUAAAGCGUCAAUAGCAGUUUCCUUCGCUCAUAAAUCCCGAACGACGCCACUGACACAUACCGUUCCUUUUGUGUUACUCUCAAGGUAAUGACAUGCAUAGUGCAUUCGAAGAAAGCUUCCAAGGGUUUCCCGGUCUGCUCUUACGCCACCCUAACUGUUUCCAAACUCUUCAAAUAUAAAAUUCGAUCGACAAGGCAAUGAACCGAUCAUUCUGCGUUUAACCCAAGCCUUAUCCUGCUAGUACAGUGGAACACUGACCAACUCAGAUACUGUGCAAAGCUUCGAAGACAAGAUACAUGACUAUACUUGUACUACACGUGCCGACAUAAAUGCUCGCAUGCAAUAUCCUUCGUCGUACCUUGGAUGAUCUUCAGAGCCUCCUCUUUAGAACGGGUGAUGUUUGGUUCUUUCCAGGAGGAGGGCCGUCUGGAGUCCUUGUGCUUCACCAAGAUGUGCGAGCACCACACCUGAUCCUUACCCUCCUCCUUCUUUAGGGAUCCUGGGUCUGCUGGCGCUGUAGGAGCUUCCCAUUGGCUCUCCUUAGUGUAUAUGUUCAGGUAAUAGGGCUCACCUGCACACACCCUUUGCUACUGAUGGCGGCCAACAUGGCUGAACAGUUCCCACUUACAGUGGGCUUCCCUUCAUGGAAUCACUCUGUACACCUGGCAUGUGAAAGUUUGCACUUCUAUUACAAAAAACUUAUGGCCAGGGGCGGUGUACCAAAUGCAGCGGGCAUCGGCGGGCUAAUGUUUGUUAAUUUUUCGAACGAAGUGGUUGAAUAACGCGCGACACUGUGUUAUUAUUAGCAGCAACUGAACGUUGCAAGAAAAAAAAAAAAAAAAGAUAAGAACGCCCUCCCAGAUUCAGUCUUCUCUAAACCUGAGGCUUUAGCACAGCGGUGUAUGCAACAAUUGCCCAAUCAAUAAGUAUACUGUGCUUUGCUUUAUCCGGUUGGGUUGUUUAUUGUAUCAGUUUGUUUACCCACGGAGUGCCUGCCAAAAUAGGCUUAGAAUAUGUUAGACGCCGGUACCGAGAUAUCACCUAUUUGUCUAAGGAGACCGCAAGAAAAGGGAAGUGCAAAGGUAGUACACUGUACAAUGCAGUAAGAGGUAAUAAUCACAAAUUGACCACACCUGUGGAACGGCUGAGCCGUUUUUCCCAGCCACUAGGAAGCUGCUCGUCUCCGGACAUGUUUUUAAAACUGCAGACAGCAGGAAAUGGAUUGGAUAGUGGAUUGACAAAAGACGAACCACGGAUGGAUGGAUAGCGGCCUUGUAUCGGACGGUAGCAUGCGCCACCCAGCUAGCCCAUUUUUAUUUCUUGAAAUCUGAAGUCUGGACACCCAUUUCGCCUGUAGGACUUUGUACCUGGUACGGUACCUCCCUUGUUUUAAAAGAGAUUUGGCGAAGCUGAACUUGAACCUCAGUUCAACAUGCGCGGCUUUUCGCCUGUGCGAAAAUUGCUGGAGGAUAUGGAGCCGUUGACUGACUAAGACAUACGAUCCUUGGCAUCCUGUUGCUGUUUUCUAAACUUUUUUGCGACGACGAGGUCCCGAGGUCCUUGAAAACUUCGUGGAGUAUCUCAGCCAUCCCUUCGACGAUACCACUGAGGAACAACGGUUGUGAACACCAUUCUCCUCGCAUAUUAUAACGCGGAGUGGAAAACGAAACCAUCAGCCAUUGCCCGCCACACGUGCCAGUCCACAGUGCAGCGGCGCAGUCCAUAGUGCGACGGGCGACAUCAUAUUCUUUUACGAAAUAAAGAAGGCUCUGUGUGCUGUGACUUUUAUAAACAAACGUUUCAGUGCUGAGCGUAUGAAACACUUAGCUUCUCGAGUGCUGAAUGCAUUGAACUGUGGUGUUCUGCUGCGUAUCAUUCAAUAGCUUGAUUCGAAGCGUGCAAUUGGAAUGGCUUUAGAGAGCAAGCCCACGAACUGUGCCAAAUCAGUCGUCGAACGUGCUUUCAGGGUUGUUUCAUCAACGUUAGCUGCUGGAGCGUUGACGUACAGUAUCGUACACAUAAGCCAGCAAAUGCUGCACGUCACUUACAAAAAGAAGUAUCGCGUCCUAAUUCCGGCCUUGCUAUGCGCUGCAGCUGCGUCGGUUACAACGGUAACAAAGGUCAAGGAAUAUGGAUUUAUACAACCGAAGACAAUACAACACCAUCCUGCAUAGAAAGAGGCAACACAUCAAUAUAGCUGUCGUGUUUAAAAAAAUUAUCUUCAUGAAAUUAUGGAAUAAAUAUGAUUUAUUUACACAAU